rnacentral:lncRNA from 1 species
GGAUGGUCGUACAUAGUCACCAUGUCAGAAAUUGUGUACCCUCGAUUGAUUCGAACAAUGGAAUCCGUUCGCAUGAAACCAAAAAUUGGCAUAAGAUCGAAGGUUUUUCUAGGGGUCGUAAAAAGGGCGUUUAACCUGCCGUUUUUGGAAUACUCUUGAGCGCCUCCACCAUAUGAUCGAAAAACAUCUUUGUACCAGAAUGACGACAUCAUAAUGAUGUAUCCUUUCCCGAGGCCUUUUUGGCUGAGGGCAUUUAGGUAAGAAGACUAGUCAAUAUUUGAUACAUUAUUUUCUAGCACAUUAAACAGUGCUAUGAGCAAGUCCUCUGUUUACCGUAAAGGAUGUUCAAGGACUUUCGUGGUGAGCUUCAGAAACCAGCCCAAAGUAAAGCAGCUAGGCAUUCAUGAUACAUACAAUAAAGGGACACGCUUAGUAGGAUGCAGUUCAAGGAGGUAGACACUGGCUUGUGAGUACCCAAGGGCAAGAAUACGAAGACAGGAAAGAAAAAGAAAGCUCCAGGACCAGCAGGAACAGUUGAGAUGCACGAGGUGGCCCUUCAAGAGGAGGGUGAGAUGGUCCACAUGGAGCAGGAGGAGACACAUCAAGAGAAUAAUUGUGUAGUGAUUACUGGAACUUCCAUUUAUAACUCUUGGAAUACAUUUGUGAGGUUGUCAAUUAUUGAGAAUAAUUUACAUCCUUGAAAAAGAGCAUUCAUUCAUUUCUUCAAAGUACUUUACCCAGCUGGCAUAACCCAUUUAGGGCAUCUUAACACCAGCUAUUCCUUGUAUUGUUCUUCAUUUUAAGCUAGUGGUUAUAAUCUUGAGAGAAUUCAUUACUGUACUUUGAGGGAGAGUGAAUUGGCUAAGAGAGAGAACUCUUUGAAGCUUUUGAAAGUCCAUUAGAACCACAAAUCAAAUUGUACGGAGGUUAAAUUGGCUAAGAGGGAGGAGAACUCUCAAAAAUGUGCAGAAAUUACACGGCCGUGAAGUUGGGUAUAACAUUCUCUCAUCCAUGCUAUGAUACAUGUGUAAAGUAGCACAAGAUAACAUCAGCAUCAGCAUCCUCUGGCUCAUACAAAUAGAACUACUGCGGCCAAAUCAACAUGUGUGGUUUCCAAAAAGGAGGUUAAUAAACAUACUCACCAAAAGAAUGGGGAGAUCAAAAUUUUCAGGAGUCCCUGAUGAUCUGGUUUGGGGACCACCCUCAGGAUUUUCCCCCAGUAACCGAAGCAGCUGAUGAAGUUCACAAGCCUUCCUUACUUUGAUUUUCCUCUUUUUCCAUUUUUACCAAACUUUUUAUUACCCUUCAUUGGUUUGCUCUUCAUGUGGGAAAUUCUAUUUGCCUUUUUCUGCCUGUCCUUCCGAACCUGCUCAGAGUCCUUGAUUUCUGAGCGCACAUGAGCAUUGGGCAUGGACCGGUGGUUCUUUCUUCCUCUCAACUUCCAGUUACCUCCAUGCAAUUGGUGAUUUCCUGCAGGCAGGAGCAAGCUCAAGAAUAAAUUAUGGAUGCAAGCUCUCAUGUUUUUGACAUUAAGACUAUAAAACGAAUUAUAUUCCAUUUUAAAGUAAGGCUUAUUAACAUAAUCCAUAUUUAGGAUGAAUUUUCUACAAUAUAAAGUUAAGCACAAAAAGUCCAAUCAUAAUAAUUUGAAUAAGUUAGUAGACUCUGUUGAGAGAGAGAGAGAGAGAAAGGAGAAAAACCUUAUUCACAUUCAUUGUAAUCUCUACUUACAAUUGAGAGAUAUAUAUAUACAAGGCUAGGAGUCCUAACUACCAUACAUGUGACCUAUAUUAACAAGGAAAGAUAGUAUACUAUACAUACAUUAUAUUCAACACUCCCCCUCAAGCUGGAGCAUAUACGUCAUAUGCACCAAGCUUGUUACAAAUAUAUUUAAUCCUAGGACCUCUGAGAGAUUUAGUGAAGAUGUCUGCUAGUUGAUCAUUUGAAUUGACAAAACUUGUAGCAACACAUCCUGAUGCGAUCUUCUCUCUAAUGAAAUGACAGUCAACUUCAAUAUGCUUGGUCCUUUCAUGAAAGACUGGAUUGGAUGCAAUAUGUAAUGCGGCCUGGUUAUCACAGAUGAGUUUCAUCUGUUCAUCCUUUCCAAAUCUCAACUCCUGAAGAAGAUGUCUCAACCAUAUGAGUUCACAUGUUGCCAAAGCCAUAGCUCGAUACUCGGCUUCAGCGCUAGAUCUGGCCACUACAUUCUUGUUUCUUACUCUUCCAAGAUAUUAGAUUACCUCCAAUAAAAACACAGUACCCUGAAGUGGAACGUCUAUCUGUGGGUGAGCCAGCCCAAUCUGCAUCUGUGUAACCAACAACUUGAGUAUGACCUCUGUUCUCGUACAAUACACCUUGGCCUGGUGUACUUUUGAUAUAUCGAAGAAUACGGAUUACGGCAUCCCAAUGGCUAUCACAUGGUGACUGUAGGAAUUGACUAACAACACUCACAGGAAAAGAAAUGUCUGGACGAGUAAUGGUGAGAUAGUUCAAUUUACCUACGAGCCGUCGAUAUCUCCCGGGGUCUCCUAAAGGCUCCCCCUGUCCUGGUACAAGUUUGACAUUCGGAUCCAUAGGUGUGUCUACCGGUUUACAAUCUAACAUACCGGUUUCUUCCAGGAUGUCUAAAGCAUACUUCCUUUGGGAAAGGACCACACCAGAACUGGAUUGAGCUAUCUCAAUUCCCAAGAAAUACUUGAGUUUCCCCAAGUCUUUGGUCUGAAAGUGGGUAAAAAGAUGUUGCUUUAGUUUCUGAAUACCAUCCUGAUCACUGCCUGUAAUGACGAUGUCGUCCACAUAAACAACCAGAUAAAUACACUGCCCCAAGGAGUUAUGAUGAUAAAAAACUGAAUGGUCUGCUGUACUGCGAAGCAUGCCAAACUCUUGAACAACAGAACUAAAACGGCUAAACCAUGCUCGAGGAGAUUGUUUCAAGCCAUAUAGAGAGCGGCGUAACCUGCACACUAAACCAGACUCCCCCUGAGCAACAAAACCAGGAGGUUGCUCCAUAUAAACUUCCUCAGCAAGAUCACCAUGAAGGAAGGCAUUUUUAAUAUCCAACUGAUAAAGAGGCCAAGAACACAUAGCAGCCAUGGACAGAAGCAAGCGGACAGAAGCAAUCUUGGCAACAGGAGAGAAUGUGUCACCAUAAUCAGAACCAUAAACUUGAGUAUAGCCUUUUAGCAACUAAGCGGGCCUUAAGGCGAUCAACCUGACCCAUCAGGACCAACCUUAACUGCAUAGACCCAACGACAACCAACUGUAGAUUUACCAGAGGGUAAAACAACAAGAUCCCAAGUGCCAUUAGAGUGCAGAGCAGCCAUUUCAUCCACCAUUGCCUGUCGCCAGCCUGGAUGGGAAAGAGCUUCAUGGGUGCUCUUUGGAAGAGAAACAGAGGAUAUAGCAGAAACAAAAGCAGAAUAGGGUGAAGAUAAUCGAUGAUAACUCAAAAAAUUGUAAAUAGGAUGAGGAUUACGAGUAGAGCGAGUACCUUUCCGAACAGCAAUGGGUAAGUCAUUAGGAGAAGGCAGAGCCGGGGCAGGUGAAGCCGAAGGGAUAGGAAGUGAGUCAGCAGGUGCCUCAGGAAAAGGGAGAGGAGCAACGACACGAGGGCGACGAUGAUAAACCUGAAGUGGUCGAGGGGGCAUAGCAUCAGGUGGGGAGACAAUGGGAAUGGGCAAGACUUCAGAAACAGGAAGAGACUCAGAAGUGGUGGAAAAGAAUGGUGAGUCCUCAAAGAAGGUGACAUCAGCGGAGAUAAAGUACCGAUGAGUCUCAAGGGAAUAACAACGAUAACCCUUCUGAAGUCUGGAAUAUCCCAAGAAGAGGCACUUCAUGGCUUUGGCGGAAAGCUUGUCCUGUCCAGGAGUGAGAAUAUGAACAAAGCAAGUACAACCAAAGACACGAGGAGGAAGGAAAUAAAGUGGUUGGUCAGGGAAAAGAAGGGAGUGAGGAAUCUGAUCGUGUAAGACAGAGGAGGGCAUACGAUUAAUCAAAUAACAAGCGGUAAGAACAGCGUCCCCCCAAAAACGAAAAGGAACAUGAUUAUGGAGGAGGAGAGUACGAGCUGUCUCAACAAGAUGUCGAUUCUUGCGUUCAGCUACCCCAUUUUGUUGAGGAGUAUGAGCACAAGAAGACUGAUGAAGAAUCCCAUGAUGAGACAUAAACGAAGUAAAUUGGGCUGAAAAAUAUUCCCUGGCAUUGUCACUGCGUAACACACGAAUAGAAAUAUUGAACUGGGUUUGGAUUUCAGUAUAAAAUUUCUGGAAAAUAGAGAAUAACUCAGCUCGAUUUUUCAUUAAGAAUAACCAAGUACAUCGAGAAUAGUCAUCAAUGAAAGUGACAAAAUACUGAAAUCCUAAAGUAGACGCAGUCCGACAAGGACCCCAAACAUCAGUGUGGACAAGCUCAAAAGGAGACUUUGCCCGAUUAUUCAAACGCUUUGGGAACGAGACACGAGUAUGUUUCCCAAGCUGACAUGACUCACACAGAAGCGACGACAAAGUGGAAAAACGAGGAACCAUCUUCUGGAACUUGGAGAGACUAGGGUGGCCCAGACGAUUGUGAAUGAGGAGAGGAGCAUCAGUGGAAAUGCAAACUGCAGGAGAUGAAUCUGAGGUGAGGUGAUAGAGGCCUUGAGACUCACGUCCUAUGCCAAUCGUCUUCCCCGUACUCCGGUCCUGCAAGGUCACAAAUUUAUCAGAAAAGGUAAUAGAGCAAUUAAGAGUACGAGUGAUUUUGCUGAUGGAAAUAAGAUUAAAAGGACAUUCAGGAGUAUAAAGGACAGAAGUGAGAGGUAGAGAAGGCAAAGGAAGGGCCAAACCAAUACCUUUAGCCACAGUUUGAGAACCAUUAGCUAAGGUAACAGUAGGUAAAUCAGAGGUAGUAGUAAUAGAGGAGAAAAGAUCCUUAUUACCAGAUAGGUGAUCAGAUGCUCCAGAAUCUAGAAUCCAGGGUCCAAGAGAAGAUGUGUGGGUAAGGCAAGCAGAGGCAUUACCAGGCUGGGCAACAGAGGCAAUAGAAGCCUGAGAUGUCUGAGAUGCGGAGGAGCUCGGAGGCUGAGGCAGCGGAGAAUCAGAGGACUGGGCCAUAUGGGCAGUGCGAGGAGGUCUUCCAUGUAACUGAUAGCAACGAUCGCGAGUGUGGCCAAGUUUAUUGCAAUAGGUGCAAUGAGGACGUUGGCCUCUACCUCGGGUACCACUGCGUCCUCCUCGAGAGGUAGUUUGAGAAACUAACACAGAAGAAUCUGAAGCGCUAUCAGAUGGCAAAGUCUGAGUGGACGAGAUACGGAGGAGGCGAGCAAACACAUCAUCCAAGGACGGAACUGAUGAACUACCAAGAAUCUGAUCACGAAUAGGCUCAAGAUCCGGACGGAGGCCGAUAAGAGUAAGGACCAUGAAGAACUUGUCAAGCUGUAUUUGUUGAGCCCCAACAUCAGGAGUAAGAGGCAUCACAGUCAAGAACUGCUCCUUAAGAGAGGCAAUCUGGCCAAUAUAAGUAGAUAGAUCCAAGUCCUGUUGGCUGAGAUGGACAAUAGCAGAAGCCACCUUAUAAAGACGCUGGAUAUCAUUCGUGUAUAAUCAUUUGGCCUGAGUCCAAAAUUUAAAACAAGUUUUAUAGGCCUGAAGAUGAAGAAGAAUUCGGGGAUCAACCGAUUGCCAUAAUACACUACACAACUGUGCAUCUAUCUUCCUCCACUGUACGCGGUCGACCUCAGGGAUAUCUGCCUCCUGUGUAAUCAAGUGAUCCUCAUAUCCUUGACCCAUAAACCAAAGUUCAACAGAGGCAGACCAGGAAAGAUAAUUUUCACUCCCAACUAAUUUCUCCGAAGUAAUCAUAGGAGAUCCAGAUAUGACAGAGGAAAAAAUGGAAGCUUUAGUAGCCAUAUCCACUUAUCUGGAGAAUGAAGUAUGUUUGGAUCGAAGAGAGCCCUAAUACGGCUUCAGAUUGCAGCGUGGCACCACCGAAAAAGGGAGACGGCCUCAGAUCGCGGUGUGGUACCACCAGAAAGGGAGAAGAACACUUCCCAAGGCACGUGCAGGGAUUGGAGUGGAGAAAAAGUGGUCGGAGCUUCGCCGGAAAGACUGUUUGGAGGGCCGACGGAGACAAAAAUCCCCAAAAGAGGUACGUGCAGGGCUCGGAUGGGAGAACCAGGGAGGUGGGAAGGCUGAUCGGCGUCAGGCGAAGCUGGAGGAGGAGGCGCGUCGCCGGAAAAGCUCUCACGCGCCCCCACGCGCCGGCGCGUGAGAUUCAACCGCCGGCCGGAAAAUUGCACGUGGCCGGCGCGUGGCUGCUCUUUUGGUGCUGGUGCCUUCACAAAAGUUGGAGAUCUCCUCCAGGCGCUCCUUCUGGUAUGAUCGGUGUCGGAAAAAUAGGUCGCCGGAAAGUUCGCCGGAAAAUUUCGCCGGAAAUUUUGCCAGCGGUGAGUGGUUUCUAACGAUGAUCCGACUGACCGGAAAGUAUUGGGAGAUGGGGAAGGUGACCGGAAAGAAACACGGUCACCGGAAGGUUUCCCGGAGUUGAUGACACGGAAAACAGGAAAGAAUUAGGUUUUCUUCCUUGGCUCUGAUACCAUGUUGAGAGAGAGAGAGAGAGAAAGGAGAAAAACCUUAUUCACAUUCAUUGUAAUCUCUACUUACAAUUGAGAGAUAUAUAUAUACAAGGCUAGGAGUCCUAACUACCAUACAUGUGACCUAUAUUACCAAGGAAAGAUAGUAUACUAUACAUACAUUAUAUUCAACAGACUCCAUACAAUUGGGUGACUGAGACUACCAAUCAAAGCAAAAAGUAAAAAAUAAAAUGAAAAGCAAUAUAAGAAGAGUGCACAUUAAAUUUGUACUAGGUAGGAAAUUAACUAUCACAUGUGCUCGAAACACUCAUAAAAUGUAUAUGAUAAAAAAUAUUAUAGCUGCAUGUUAAAGGAGUCCCAAUAUGACAAGGAACGACAUUUUAACAGCAAUUAAUAAUUAUCUAAUGAAGUUAAUGAAAAAACGAAAAGAUGGGUGAUUCAUCCAAAAUCAAGACAAAGAUUAAGAAAUAGCAGCAACUAGGAGCUUCCAAUCUCAGUGCAUUACCUGCUGAACUUGUGGCUUCAGCAUUUCCUUCAUUACUUGUUCCUUUUAGAGAUAUCUUAUUGUGUGAUCGUUCUUUCCACUUCUUGUAUAUCCCUGUUUUGGUGGCUUUUACUUUUGAGCCACUUUCGGUCUUUAUCUAUGCACCAGUAAAAAAUAACGAGUAAAUAGUCCUGAACCUCAGGUACACAGUAAGAAAAACCAACUUUAGUCAUGACUCGUGACUGGGAUGAAACCAUUGAUAAACUCACAUCCAGUACAUCAUUAAAAUUAUAGCAAGACAAAUACACAGACACACACAUGGGAGUAUCAGAUGGUCCAGAUCAUUGGAUAAUUUCAAAUUUGAAGAUAAACAAGGAGAGACCCGAUGUAUCAGACCCAUCAUACAUUCAGCCCCAAUAUUUUUUAUUUGAAUCCAGCAUAUAGAAGAAUUAAAAAGCAUACUAAAUCCCAUGUCCAAGUCAUUGGACUAACUUUUUUUAUCAGAAAGCGGUUGUGAUAUUCCAAAUGAAGAUCCAUUGAGUGCUUUUUUCCAUUCUAGAUAGCUGAUAGGUCCCAUGGUCAAAAGAUAAAAAAUUUAAGAUUUAAAAUUUUAAAAAAUAGAUAAAUAAAUAAAUAAAUAAAAACAACAACAACAAACUGCAGAAGGAACUAGGAGCCCCAAGCUUGAAACCAAAGCUGAUGUGGGAAGAAAGAUGGGAUACAAUACAACUUCUGACAAAUAAAAGAUAUGACCUUAAUCACCAACUUCCAUUAAGAAAAGAAAAAUGUAAGUGAUGCCUUGCAUCUACACCUUAAACAAGGUCAGUACAAUGAACUGAAACAAAACAAAACAUCUGUUCCUAAAAUGGAAAGUUGAUUUUCACAAUGCUAACUGCUAUUCAAUAUGCUGUUUCCUCCAGGAUGUACUAAAUGUAAAAUGAAAGCAAAUGUUAAAACUCCUUAUAGAUUCCAAUAGUGCAAAGAAUUUUAGAAAAUACCUUUCCACUGGCUGUCACACGUUCACCAUUGUUUAACUUGAUGUAUUUUUUACCUCUCUGCACCAAAACAGUUGCACAAAGUUAAAAAGAAAAUGAUUUAAAAAUAUAGCAGCAAGACAUCAAUAUUUGACUGUUUCAAGUACCUUAUCCCAAUGAUAUACAGACUUCUGCUUCUGCAAACCCGAACUAUCAUCUGCAACUAGAUCCAGAACAGCAGCUUCCAAUCUAUAGAUAUAGACAGGUAUCAGUAGAUACCUAACAGUAACAAAAACAGGAGUGCAUCCUAUAAUCUUGCACACAAUCAGCUACAUCACUCAAUAAGGACUUCAAACAAUGAAGUAAAAGCAUGAAAAUUUUCUGCUUUCUUUUCCUUUGUGUAUGUGUGGUGGGUUGGGCUCGGUGGAUUUGUUCUAAUAUAGCAAAAUUCUCUCACCAAAACAAUCUAUAGGCAAGUGUGAUGCAAUUGGAUGAAGACAAAGUGAUAACCCUUCACAUGUGGAAGAUAAAUAGCCAAUACAAGUUUUUACACAUUCAACCAUUGAGUGACCUCUGCUCAACAAAUUUUCCCAACAAGCCUCUUUCAGUUGAGUCUUGACUUUUUCAUAAAAUAAUCUCAUACAUACUGUAUUUCUAUGACAAACAAAAAAUAAUCCCAUACAUACACCUCAUUCAGAACCUACUCUGUCUAAAGGGGAAAGAGUUCAGGACUACUGUUUCAUCAUAAAGUUGUAUAGCAGUUAAGUUAGAGUUCUCAUGUACUUCUCAUCCACUUUUCUUUUUUAAUAUUCUGUUUUUAUUACCCAAAAAUUUGGAGAAAAGAGGAGAGAGAUACCUGCCCAUCCCUGUCAGCUGUCAAAUUUAUCAUAAGAACAUCAACAGAAAGAAAAAGGUAUAGACAAGUUGGAUGAGCAAAUGGUGACUGAGUUCUGAAAGACAAAUGUUUACAAUUUCUUUUAUCAUUUUUAACGUGCUUCUACUUGAAUAAAAUAACUCUCUAAUCUCACCUUAUUCAAUGUUUAAUUUUGCAGCCAUAGGGUACGUUAUCUUAAUUUAUGUAAAUCCAUCAAAAGAAUCAAAACCACAAUCAUUGAAAUGCAAAAAGAGUUCAAAUGCACAAAUACAUAUCUUUACCUGCUCGACCCAAAACCUUCAUUAGCUCUUACUGAGAGUCCUGCCUCUGCAUGCUGAGAUUAAUACCCAAUAUAAGUUAAAAGUCAUAGCCAAGUUUUAAUAAUGUUAAAAGCGAAUCUCAAACAGUAACUGCACCACAGAAGCACAGAAAAGUGCUUGCAAAAUGAAACUUUGCAGCAUGCAACCACAAUAAGGAACAUACAUGAUCAAUUUGGCAGGAUAAUUAACAUCAGAUGGCAUUAAAGACAGGGAACCUACGCGAUUCGUUGGCACUGAACUUAUAAAGUACUCCUCAUCCUUGAAGGUCUUUGCCUUUCUUUUAGAACUUGAGCCUCCUAACAUCCAAGGAAAAACAUCAAUGUUAGUUAUCCAAAAAAGGACAGUAGUGCUUACUCAAAAAUCAAGUUUUCAAAUGUAAAAGGACCAAUAUAUAUAUAUAUCAAUGACUUCAUUUUCUUUUCUUACCAAUAUGUUACUGAUGGGGGAAAGUCUUUUAAAGUCUAUUCAAGAAGGAAAGGGAAGACAUAAAUAAACUUUAAGUAGGAUUGAUAUUAGUUGGAAUUAAAUUAGAAUUAGUAUUAAUUGAAAUUAAAUUAGGAUUAGAAUUUGUUGGAGUCAAAUUAGGAUUAACUAGAUAGGUUAUAAGAUAAUUAGAAUUAGAGUCACAAUAAGUUAUUAGAAUCUUAGUAGACUUUGGAUUCCUUAGAAAAACCUAUAAAUAAGGCUAAUCGAUGUAAAUCAAAGUAAUGAAUUGAUUGAUAUUAAUAAUAUUUUUUUUUUUUUUUUAUUGCAAGUGUUGCAAUCCUCAAUGGUGAGACUCUAAGGUUUUCAUCUUUUAUUUGUCGUAUAUUCUUUCUCUUUAUUUUUUUUUUCUCUACCAUAAACUUUAUUCCUUAUUCCUCUCCUUACACUCUAAAAAAAAUAAAAUCCCUAACCCACCUAUUUGAAUGUAGGCAACCAUCCUAGGUCAUCCUACAUCUACUUUUCCUUUUUCUUCUGCCUCUUCAUUUCAAAAGACUUCUGUUGUGUCCUUUUUUGUCUUUCUUGGCUCUUAGUGAUGAAAUUCAUUUCUUAUUGGACACAAAAAUAAAAAAUAAGAAGAUAGAACUAGGAUAAGCAAAAAGUCUUUGGAAAUACUAAUUUCCAGGAGGAGAAGCAACUUCACAAAUUUUUUCAGGAAGUAAUCAACCAUCUAUUUCUUCAAUGGAACUUACUUCACUGACAGAAAUAUAGCACAACUCAAAUAGGAAGAAGUAAAUAGCCAAUCAUCAUAAGUGAACUAACAUAAAGAAUGGUGCACAAAGUAAUAGCUGACAACCUAAGAAUCCAAGAUUCAAACCCUUGAUAUCUAUUGGACUAGAUAGUAAGAUAUCCGGCCGCAUCACACACAAAAACUAUAAACAACACUACAAACAACGGUUAAUGAAGUGUGGGACUCUAGCUUUGGUCAAGGAGGUUGGAACCUCAGUUUUUCUAGAGAUUUUAAUGAUUGGGAGUUGGAUUUGAUAGGGGAGUUGCUGAUUGUGUUGAGGGAUUGUAGGGUAUCUUCAGAGGAGGAUUCAGUUUUUUGGAAAGGUGGGGGAAGAGGUAUUUUUGGGGUUAAGGACGCUUACAUUCUGCUGGUCGCUCCCAAUGACUUAGCUUUCCCGAAGAAGAACAUUUGGGUGGAUAAGGCUCCAACCAAAGCUGUUUUUUUUGCUUGGGAGGCCACUUGGGGGAAGAUUCUCACCUUGGAUAGGCUCCAAAAAUGGGGAUGGCAGCUCCCCAAUCGUUGUUUUUUGUGUGGUUGUGAAGAAGAAACUGCAAAUCAUAUUCUUUUACACUGUAGAGUGGUCAGGGUUCUCUAGGAGAUCAUUCUCGCCUUGUUUGAGGUUUUGUGGGUGUUCCCAGAGACAGUUAAAGAGGUGUUGUUCAGUUGGAAUGACUCUUUUGUGGGGAAAAAAAGGAAAAAGAUUUGGAAUUCCACCCCGUUGUGUAUUUUUUGGACAGUCUGGAAGGAGAGGAAUAGGUUAGCUUUUAAGGGGGGGGGGGGGGGCUUUUGCUAUUCAGAAACUCAAAAAACCUUUUUUUUAUAAACCGUGGAGUUGGGCUCGGGUGUACAUUGGUGAGGAGUCCUUGUUUCUCUUAGGCUUUUUGGAGUGGCUAGCAUCCACUUAAGGGCUGGUGGGGUUGUUUUUUUUUGUUUAGGCUACUGUGUAUACUCCUUGUAUGCUUUGUGGCUUUUUUCCGCUUUAAAUCUAUUGCUUGCUUAUUUAUCAAAAAAAAAAAACAUUAGGAAUUGCCCAGUUGAGUCACCCUCUCUGGAUGAGUUACCUUGAUGCAGAAAAAUUGAAAAUUUGAGAAGAAAGAAGCUAAGCGAACAACAUUCUUCCAGGUAUGUUUAUCAUAUCUCAUCCUCACUGGGCAUCUAUCCCUAAUUCCAGGUAUGUCUAUCAUAUGUGUGUGUUGGGGGGUAUGGGGUUGGGGUUUGGUUGCCAAUGGGGGAACAUAUUAACCAAGUAGUAGAACAGAAGCUAAGCCAACAACAUUCUUUGAAGGUUUUAACAGCCAACCCCAUAAUCCCCCUUUAGUUGAUUUUUUCUGAGUUCCAUUGGAUAAUCUUGGAAUUCACUAUUUGAGAUCAUUCCUACAAGCGCAUGCAUUAAAGUAGUCAACAGUAUCAAAUGUCAAAUCUUGUUUCUUAGCCCUGGAUUAUGGAUAUCUACAAUAUCAAAAGUUUUGGUGGACAGCAGUAGCUACUGUAUGAAAGAAGUUGAUUUGUAUUACAUAACUCCAAAGUUCAGAAAAUAAGGGGCAUCUAACUCUUCUGAACUAUGAUCAGUGGUCCUCUACGACAAAAUAUCAGCUUCCUAUGUCAUUCGAUCAAUGAAUCCAAGAUAAAGAUGAAACAAGAAUGUGUAACAUGUCCAGAAGUUUAUACAUCUAGUAAGCAACUAUCGUGGACCACGAAGGAUUUCGUUAAUCCAGUUAAUAACAAUGAACAAUCCCUUCUAUCAACAUGUCACUCCAUCCCCACUAGCAGCCCAUCAAAAGGGCCACUAGGAAGCCAAAAAUCUCCCCUUUACUUGUAUUAAACCUAUUGCAAGGUAAAGAAAAGUUGAACAAGAUGCUACCACAUGAAACCGUCAAAAUGCCACUAUCCAACUGACACAAAUCAACUGUAAUCAAAUAACAUCUGUCCAAGUCAAAUGCCAUUACCAAAUGCCAAGCCCAUCUGAGAAUUCAAGGGGGAGGAUGGGGAUUUAUAAUGUGCCUAACCUCUACCUUUUUUGCAUGAAGUGGCUGCACAAAAAGUCAAACCCAUACAUUCCUGCUACUACAACUGAUAAAGAAAAUGUCCCCACCAAACCUAGUACAAAAAUAUAGUCAGAAAACUCUCAUCAUUAUUCUCUGGAUCAAGACCUACUAAAGAAAGUUUUACUGUAUAUUAGAAUAAAAGUUACACAGAGAAAAUGCCCUAUUUCAAGAGUAUUUAAUGGAGCAUUGAAAGAAAUUAUAGAAAGAAUGGAGAGAGAGAGAGAGAGAGAGAGAGAUCAAACUAGAGUAACAGAAGAAAAAUAAACAGUGGCCAAGAAAAUAACCUUUUUUCUCCUUAUCCUUUGGAUAAGCCAUUUCAGGUUCGACUUCCUGCAUCUAGAACCAAAAGAUUCAUAAGAAACAGCUGACAAGCCACCAAAUAUAACUGAAAGCAAACAGUGUCUCAUUUUUAUCCUAAGUUUUGGAGACAAGUUUUAUGUAGACAUGCAUGGUCCAUGAUUCUUACCUAUCCAAAUCAGAUAAAUCCACAUAACCCAAGUCUUACAAAAAAGUGAUUUGUUGAUUGCCCUAUCUCAAUGACUGAAAACGGUUUGGCCAACCAUAUAGGUUAGUAAAGCUUGGCAAUUAUCUAGUCAAUGAUAUUGCCAAAAAUAUUUGGUUGCUUGCAUCAUCAGUAAAUGUAAUUGAUUGGGCACCUACAAACUUGAAAGAAUGUGAAAGCAACCAGACAUAUCAAGCUAUUACCUACCCAUGAAUUUUCAGUCCUGUAUAGUUUCUGGGACAAGUCUGGACACGGGUACUUCAUGCCCACCCCAACGAAUUUGGCCUGAUUAUGCUUGCCUAAUGUUAGGUUUUUUAUUUUCAUUUUUUAUGAUUAGACUAUAGUGGCCUUCACUUAAAGAGAAAAGCUAACUUUCCCAUUUUAAGAGGAAAAUAGCCUUUUUCCCAGUCUCAAUCUAUAUAUACUUAGAUGGAUAGAGAGAUAUACACAUGGAUGGGCGUAUGUCUCAUGCUUUCUUAGAUGCAAAUUUUUUAUAUGCAUGACAUACUCCACUGAGAUAUCUACCUUUGCCACAUGAUCACUAGAGCGUUGCUGUUGUACCAAAUUAAUGACCUUUUCAUGAAUAGCCCUCUUCUUUUUCAUCACAUCAACAGCAGGACCCUGCAAUUAAGCCACAAACUCAAUGUGAAUGAAAUUUAAAGGAAAAAUAAACCUCAAAAUUACUGUAUAUUGGCAUUCCUCUGAAUUACUUGGUAUGCCAAGUGGAUGUACACACACACACACACAAACAUAAUAGCAUAUAUUUGGAAACAGCAUUACAUAAAAAGAAGAACAAGAACAAUCAAUAAAAAAAAACAUGAAUUGGUUGAUGAAUACAACAACAAAUGGCAAGCACUUGGUUCCCAUUAUAUUCUUUUAAUAUAGUUACCAUUCUUCUAACCAGUGGGAGAGGAAGGAUGAACAGAAAACUUUGGAAGGUACUGAAAUCAGGAUUCACUUGUCUAGGCAAUAAAUUAACUAAAUAAAAAAGACGGCACCUCAACAUAGGGAAUGCAAUUACUCCAAUAAAAUUCAGGACUGAGACACGUUAUAACUAAAAAGGGUUCCAUGUGGUUUCUAGAGGAUUAAGGAUGUGAUAUUGGUUGUUUCCAGGAUAGGCCAUCAAAGAAAACAAUUCAAUCUGAACAUGAAUGCCAUAGUAGAAAUGCAAGCUAGUUAGUUGAAGCAUGAAAGUAGCCAUGAAAUUCCAGUUGGGGCCCAAAGGAAAGACAGAUAAAAAAAAAUGCAGAAAUUUCAUGUUAAGUUAGUAAACUAUAAUUUUCCAAUUGUUAGAAAUAGUUCUACUUCAAAUAUUAAAAUAUUUAAAGAACAUCCACAAAUUAGUUUUAAAUUUUACCUAAAGAAAAGCUUGGCACCUAUGUUUAUCUCAUAACAUUUCCUUCACCAAGACUUCUCUGCAGCUAGUUAUUUUCCUUGCGAAAGGGGAAAGAAAAAAACAUUCUGUUUUCUCACACAAUGAUCAACUUGCAUGCCAAAAAAAAAGUCUCAAAGUGAAGAUGAAUGCUUUCUAGGAAUGCCUAUGAACCAUACUAAUCAAACUUCUACCGCAUACUGUUGCUAAAAUUUUAUGGUCACAUCAUUCAGCUCCUUGGUAUGAUUGUCUAACAAACUAUUGCUAUUUGCUAACUUAAAUUACUUAAAUCACAAAUGCAGUAUAACUUCAGUAGGAGAGAGAGAAUCUUCAUUCAUAUUGACUGCACAAUACCCAUAUGAAAAUAUUCCAAGGAAGGAUUUGGAAAGGAAAUUGCAACUAAUAAUUGAAAAAUCAUAAUAAACAAAUUUAUGUACAUUAACAUGACCGUGUCUGUAUCAAGCUUGAUUUACAGUAUAAAAGUUGUUUGAUAAAUAAAAAUGAAGGCAAAGCAAGGGGUUGACUAAGGAGACAUAUUUUAAUGGAACUGAAUAAACUCCAGCUUUUAUGAUAGCUAGCAAGUUUAAAAUAUACAAACAUAGCAAGGAUUAAAGAUGAAGAAAUCUGAUCAGCAAUAGCAAGAAACCAAAGAAAAUGAUAAGCCAUGUACAAGAAUAUUGAAGAAAAAUGAAACCAAGGAAAAUGAAUUUUUUUCCACAGUAUGUUGAGGGGCUUAUCAAUUAAAUAUAAAUGCUGGCACAAAUUAACAAGAGCAGAAAUUUACUUGGAAAUUCUUUGAUUUAGCAGCUUCACCUUCAGCUUCCAAAAUGGUUUGCUUUGGUCUAUAGUAUAAAUCAGCAACUGAACAGUUAAUAAUUUGCAACUCUAAAUUUCAUGAAUAAUACAGAUUAAACUAACCAUUUCUAGGAACAUAUUUAAAAUUAAUACAAUUAAUUUAUUUUAGCACCCACCUGAAAGCUUUCAAGCGCUCAGAAAAAGCCAGUGCCAUUAAUUCACCACCUCCUAGUACAUUUUUGAAAAUUGGAUGCAACCCUUCACGGGGUAGAUCUUUUGCUCUUCUAAUGGACUCCCUAGAAGGUGAAGGUUUUGUCUUUGAAUACAAGCGAAAUGCAUUUGUACAGGUUUUCUGCAAAGAAGCCAGUUCAGCAGAUGAAUCAACAAGUUCCCGAACCCUGUCUGAAACAAGAUCUAUAACUGUCUGGGGGAGCCGCCCAUAAACAGUUCCUCCAUUUGCAACUAUUUGAUCAAUUUUGGACAUUACUUCAUCUGGAUCUUGCAAAACCUCCUCCUCAGUGGGAGCAGCUCUAAUAGGUUUUGAGAGGAAGAGAUGAAGAUCUAAAAGGUAAGGCAUAUCCUCAGAUGUCACAAAAGAAAAUGCAGUACCAGUCCGACCAGCCCUUGCAGCUCGCCCUACUCGAUGGACAAAAAUUUUAGGUUUUGGUGGAAAGUCCCAAUUAACAACAUUAUCGAGCAAUGGGAUGUCAAUGCCCCUAGCUGCAACAUCUGUCACAAUUAGCAACAUGGUCUUUCUUGAUCUAAACCUUGAUAUAUGAAUCUUGCGAGCAUCUUGGUCCAUAUCACCAUAACAUACAGAAGCCUCAAUGCCCUCUUCUCUAAAAAGGACAUUAAGGAACUCCACAUGAUGCUUUGUGGAAACAAAUAUUAAUGUCUGCUGAUCAGAACUGAUUUGUUCCCUUAUCAAAUACAGCAAGGCAGCAAGUUUUUCUUCGUGUCGUAAGGUGAAAAAGUUAACCUUCAAGUCAGGGCUAAUCUUAGUAUCCAAAUCAAGACGCACAAGUUGAGGGUCCUGUAGACCAGCCUUGGCAAAUUCUGCAAGAGCACUUGGUAAGGUAGCACUAAAAAGCAAGGUCUGACGAUUAUCACUCAGCUGGGCAAGGAUUUUAUGCAACUGCUCAGCAAAACCCAUGCCAAAUAGACAAUCAGCUUCAUCAAACACCACGUAUUCCACUGUGCGCAAUGACAUGUCAUCAACCUCAGACAAAUGGUGCAUGAGCCUACCAGGAGUUGCAAUUAUAAUAUCGGGAUUCUGUGCCAAUUCUUCAAACUGGCUUUCCAUACUAUCACCACCAACAAGUAAACUAAUGCGAACAUCUGCAUCAAACAAAGAAGGUUUUUAAAACUGACUAAACACAAAUUUGAUCUUAUCGAUUGAUUUAAGAAUUUGAGAGGAUAAAUAUUUGUGAAGAACUCACCAUCUUAGGAAAUUAUAACAGAUGGUGAUACAUUAGCUAAGGCCACAAGGCAAUUGGGAAUGGCAGAACCUUGAAAUCAUGCUAAAAGUCCAUAAGUUAAUAGUUAAUUCUUUCACCUCGAGAGUAUAUGCACUUUGCUAAUAACAAUUCUGUGGUUCUUAAAGGUGGUGGGAAUGAAAUUUGGAGAUGGAAAUGACAAUCUGUUUUAUUUACAUUCUCAAAUUACAUGUCUCAAUAGUUGCACAUUCUUCAAUUGUAGCUAUCAGUGGACUCACAAUGUCAUUAUAAGCUACAUCAUCUAUAAUAUUAGCUACAGUUUUCUCUAUGUUCCGUUUUCUGACAAGAAUAAACAAGUACGCAUUCUGCCAAAAUCAUAUUUUCAAAUGCAGGGUAUCGACAAUUGUCUUAACACUGCUCAGAAACAGUCCCUACCACUGCUAAUAACAAAAACAACAAUAACAACAAUAAUAAUACUUUCCAAAAUGGUUAGUAUCACUGAUUCAACAAAUCACCACAAUUUUGAUAACAUUUUAAGAAAGCGUCCAUUAAACUUAACCUAAAUAUGUUAUUUAGCCUAACUGGCAUGAACAUGGAAAGAAUGUUCUUUCUUUUCGCCAGUUCUCUCAGUAACCAAACAAAGACAAUAACCAAAUAAAUAAAAACUGACCGGUGUAUCGAGCGAGUUCCUUGGUGAACUUCAAAGUCUGAAGCGCCAGGUCCCUAGUAGGAGAGAGAAUGAGAGCCCUAACGCCGGUCUGAGGGACGUGUUGCUUCAAGCGCUCAAGCAUCGGAAUGAGGAAGGCGGCGGUUUUUCCGGAACCAGUACGGGCCAUGGCAACAACGUCGCAGCCAGAGAGAAUGAGGGGCAUGGUCUUGCGCUGAAUGGGAGUGGGGACUCGGUAGCCCUUGCGCUUGAUGGCCCUGUAGACAUUGGGACUCAGCCCUAGAGACUCGAAUCCCCCUGACCUAGCUUUCUUCUUCUGCUUCUCCCUUCGCUUCAACUCCGCUUUGGAGCUCACGUGAAGAUUCAACACCGCCAUGAGAGAACCCUGGGAGUUUUUCAGAGGAAGACGACCAAGCGAGAAGCCUCCUUCCCUUGUGUUUUAGGGUUAAUGAAAACAAGGGAAUUAUUAAAGUUACCUUGCUGUUAACUAACUUUCACGGACCAAUAGAAGUUUCACACGUCUAAAAAUUGAAUUGCCAUUUUAAGUAAAGAAUUAGUUGCCAAUUAUAGGUUGCUGGGAUUAAUUAAUUUGAAUAUUUUAUCAUCUCAAUUCCAAGCCCACAAGUCCUAACUUUUAGCAUACAAAUUUGGAUCUUAAGUUUGUGUCAUACCAUUUUUUUUAUUUUUUUUUAUUUUUUAUUUUUAUCUUUAUCAAUUUUUAUAGUAGUAAUUUUUAGCCCAGGUAUUACGUUUUAGCUUAUGGCCCUUUAGCACCUAUAGUUUAAUUAAAAGAAAAGUACUCGUCUAGAGCUUAAAAUUUUAGGUCAAAAUCAUCCUUUAUCAAAAAAAAUGUGAGUUAUAAAGUUAUUGUUUAAAAUUAUUAAUUUAAAAAAUAUGACUUCUAUUAAAAUUAGAAACAGUAAUUUCAAAAUACAUCUUUCAAAUAUGUAUUAAAAUUUCAAAUUUGAGACGUGAAUUCUAAAUUUAUACCAAAAUUAGCUUUUAAUAAAUUUUUGAAAAAAGUUUAAGGUAAAAUACAUGCAAAGAAUAAUAUCAUUUUAAAUAUUUGUUUAAAAAAGAAUUCUUCCUUAUCAUGACUUAUAAAAUAACUGCAACAAAAAGAAAAAAGCAUUAAGAGACUGUCCUGACCCAACCCUAGACCUACUCCGAGUGAGUAUGAUGGUACAUUCUAAAUUUAAAAUUGCACUUAUUUAUACUAAUUUUUCAUACAAUAAUAUCUUCAAAGGAUGGUUUUAAGAUCGCGAUAUUUUUUAGAACAAAAAUCUAUUUAAAAAACUUAAAAUAUUUUUAACUUAUUUUUACAUAUUUUCAAUUUUUUUUUUUUUAAUUUUAGUGUUUUAUUUUUAACUAUUCUUCAUAAAACAAGAGAAAAUAAUGAAAAAUAUUGUAAAAAAAAAAUUAUUGUAAAAAAAUAGUUUUAAUGUUUUAUUUUCAUUCAUUCUUAAUGAAACAAGAGAAAACAAUUGAAAAUUAUCUUCAAAAAACACCAUGUUUUCAUAAUGGAUUCUCAAAAACAAUUCCCAAACAUGCUCUUUAACAUCUCAAUUUAUUUCCAGUAUUCUUAAUAACAUGAACUUGAUCACUGGUUUAUUAUGAUGACAAAGGGCUUUUCUUUUCUUUGGGUUUAUGUCUUCCUUAUAAUAAACCAAGGAUCAAGCUAAACCCUAAGCUACUGCAUAUCACAAGGGCGGCAUUCAGUCCUGAAAGGAGAUUUGGGGAUGUCAAAUACCCAAAUGCACAACAGUUGGUUUAUACAGUUAUGAGGAUGUGUUGAUAACAAACCAGUAAACCAAGCUUGCAUUUUCAGAGCAGAUUAGAAUUAUAUGGAUGCAACAAAGCCAAUAAUCACGACACAGACUAAGGCCCUUAGUAGGACCCAUAACUUGGACAACUCAACUGUUAUACUAACUUCAAGCAAAUAUUGCAGAAAUGAGAACUUUCCCCAUUCUCCAGCCCCUUACCUGCCAAAAUCAAAAGGCCAACACCAAUUACAACACUAUUCAAUCUUCAACUUGGUAGAAGCAUGACCAUGACAGACUCAUCCAAACCUCGACAUGUUCUCAUGAGUUCUUGAAUCGGACUACAACGCAAGUAAUGUUGUCAGAGCUCCCUCGUGCAUAAGCCUCAUGUAUAAGUUUUCUUGAUGCUGCUUCUGCAUCCAUAAUGUCCUGCACUAUAGCCACGGCCUCCUGAUUGCAGAAGAAAGAACGUUUUUGAGGGGCUUGGAUUCCAUAAGAUUUAUCUUCAUGGGAAAUAUCAUGUAAUCGAUCAACAUGAAAAAAAGCAUUAAAUAGUGAAUUUUUACACCUAUCCCCAUGUUUUGCUUUUGUAAAUGCUCAGAGAUCCUCAAAUAGAUAUUGAUAACAUUCUUUGAGGGCAAAUGUUCAUAGGCUACUUCCUGCUAAAUUAGACACCACAGCAUUUGGAAGUUGCGAAACAGAGAAGCCUUCAGUAUACACAAAAUGAACCAACAUGGACUUGUGUGUUAAGCGUAUCUAGCAUAUACAUGUGUAUUUCCGUAUUCACUCAAUAAAGGAAAGUUUUGGCUCAUCUACAUAAUCAACACAACGAUCUUAGAAACCUGCCUUUGUUAAAUACUAUUUAUAAAAUAACUCAUCUCCCAUAUUAUUUUUUCACCCACAAAUCAAUCAAAUGUUGUCUUACUAGCUAGUUUUUCUUGGCAUCAUUUCAUGAUAAUAUCAAGUUCCAGAUGUAAUCCAGAUUCCCAUAGAAUCACAUCAUCUAAGACUGUAACUGUAAUAUAGUAUUACAUCCUUCCUUUUCUUCCCUUGUUAUAUAGGUGAAUAAUGCAAGAACUAUCACAUGAAGUUCCUAGACAUUCAGAAUAUAAGCUAAGAACUAUAAUUUUUGUAUCAUUACAAGUGAACCAAACGAAUGACGUUUCAUCAUUAGUCUGAAGUAUUGACUGGUUGAAACACUUUAGAAUGAUGCAUGCCACUAUGACACACACUGUUAGACCAAGGUUUGGCUAAUCUCGUUUUAUGAUGAUAACAAAACAAAGUUUGGAUCUAAUGGUUAUACUUAAAUGUGGUAGUCAAGAGGAGCUCCUUGGAACCAUCAAGAAGAAGAUACACGGAGCAAAAAAAGAAAUUUAAAAAGAAUGAAGAAAAGAUUUAUCAAGUUUAUCAUUAGAAUACUUUAUAUGUAAGAUGAUGAGUGCACUAAUUUAGGACUGCAUAUUUUUGUUAAGCACUAAAACAUUCAUCCAUAAGUUUUUAAUUGAUUUUAUACUUUUAUAAUUUGGAUGAAAAUUAUUUUGGGGAUGGAAAGACCUACCUAACCUAAGUGACUACCUUGAACCUCAAGCUUUUCAUCAAAAUCUUUUAAAGUUUCUUAAAAACAUUAUCGACUUAACUAAGGUCUCUUACACUUGAAAAAAUUCUCAAAAUAUCGGUUAAAACUUUGUUAGAAGGUGGUUUACUUUCAUACGAGUUAGUUAAAAAAGGUCUUAGCCCCAAAACAUGCAUGAACUUUCAAAAAUAUUGGGCUAGAGCAUAUGUGGAUGACUAGAUAGCCAUCCGAUAGCCAUGUGGAUGUCCAGGCAAUCAUCCAAUUGUCAUGUGGACCUCCAAGCAGUCAUCUACUUGCUCUAUUUUGGGACAAAAUGGAUACUAGAAACAAAGUGGAUGUCCACCUAGAUGACCACUUACCUUGAGCAUUGAUUUUUAGCUACUAGAAGCCAUGUGAACGUCCAUCUAGAUGACCACUCGGCAAUGUGGAUGACCACCUGAACAUCCAUGUUUGUCUUUCGGCCUCCAAUGGCUCUUUGCACCCCAUUAAAUGCUCUAAUGGCUAAUAUGCAGAUAUCUGAUUCUAGGAGAUUUAUUUUAUUUCUAAUGGCUAGUUUAAUCUUUUAACUUCUAUAUCAAAGCUCUAUGCUUUAUUUAAAAAAAAAAAAAAAGAAGAAUUCCAAAUAAUUAUUCAAUCAUCUUUUGAGCUUUAAGAAAAUAUUUUGAAAGCAUUGAGCUUAAACUUGCAUUCCAUUCUUAGUGCACCUAAUCAAUCCUAGUUUUCUUUAUAUCCUUGAGCAAAAAUUUGUAAACUAGAAAUUUGUAGCGAAAAAUUCAUUUCUUGUAAAUCUUCUGAGGUGAGCUUAAGUGCAGGGUAUCACUUGAGGGAAAAAUCUAUGAAUAAGGUAUCAUUUAAGGUUUGUCAAAUGUGGGGCAUCACUUGAGGAAUUCAAGAGUGAAGUAUCUCUUGAGAAAAAAAGUAAGUGCCCAUUGGAGCCGAUUAAUCCAGGUGUAAAGCUUGAUGGCUUGGUUUGAAAGCUUUGAUAUAGUGGAACCUCAAGCUUGGGAUUGAAGCUAAAGGAGAGUGAAUGUAGGACUGGAUUGGGUCGAACCACUAUAAAUCGGAAUGUGCAAUCUCUUUAUUUAUUGAUCUUUAUUGUUUUUAUUAUAUUAUUGGUUAUACUAUCUCUUACAUUCAUCAUAGUUCAUACUUACUAUAAUUUGUAAAAAGUGAUCAUCACCUUAUGCACCCCUCCCUUUUGAGUGACUACCUUAGGUUGAUAUAGUUACUAGUUAGAAUCUAACACAUACUAUAAGAUGGGAAAAGAAAAUACCUGCCUAAAGAUUAAUAUGAUGGCCAAAAUACCCUAAAAUAAACAUUAAGGUUGUAGUUUACAAUGUGUUCUACUUCCCACUUCUGAACAAAUUCAAAUGCACCCAAGAAAAACAUCUAUCUAAAAUCUCACCAAAAGGCAAAAAAACAUAAAGACUUCUACAUGAUUCCAUUAUUCCCCUGCAGAAUGAUUUAUACGUAAGAAAAUACUUACCUUAUUUGAUAAGACAUUCCAAAGUCCAUCACUUGCAAUAAUUAUAAAAUCUACACCAUCAAUUUCUUCUUCCUAAGCAUUUGAAAGGGAUAACUUCAUGAGCAACAAGUGGAGUGGAAAUAUAGUAUAAAGACAAGACAAUAAAGUUAAACUUUAAUACAAAAAAUCCAAAUCCUUUGUCAAAAAAAUAAAAUGGCAAUAAAGAUUAAAGAAUUUCAUUCAUAAGUAACUGCAUGAAUUAAAGUGCAAUAAAUUUCACUUAUUUUAGAUGUGAAUUUUGCUUUAAAAUUAUCAUGAUUAGCAAUGCCCAAUCCCCUACUGAAAUUAAAGUCCUUCAAUUCAGAUUAUCCAAGGAGAGAUCUUCCACAUAAAGCAUGUUUGCAAAUAUCUGUUUUUCUAAACUCUUUCCAUGUUUCUUCCAGCUUUCCUGCUUCUCUCCAUUUUUCAUUCCAGAACAUGCAUCAAGGAACUCCAACUUGGUGAUGUUAGUAGUUAUUGAUCUAAAUGAACAAUCUAUAUCAACUCUACCAUCAAACAUUGGGUAUUGUUACCAUUAGAUACACUAACUUGUAAUUAUAAUUAUUAUUUUUAAUUUUAACAGACACAUGCAUUUGGAUUUUUUAUUUUUAAUCUGACUCUUUAGUAAUGUAUUGAAAAUCUUCAUUCCCACUAUCCAGAGAUUCCACUGGCUUAUUACAUGGCCAUAAUCUCUUUGCCACUCAAUGUGUGGUCCAUACAGUAUAGCGGUCAACUUGCUCAGAACCCCUCAAAAGAGUAAACGAAUGAGGGCUCACGUGCAGCAAUAAGCACAGGAUCAGCAUCCUUACCAACUAAGCAUCAUUUCAUUUUCUUUCUUGGCAUUACUUCACACUGGUGAAAUUGAUCCAAAUAAUAACCACAUCCAAAAAUGUCCAAUGCAUAGUAAAACAAGGAAAGUGCCUCACAACCAUAUUGAAAAUGCUCAAGUGGCAGGGAAAUUUUUUUCAUAAUGGAGAUGGUUAAUGUGCCUUACAAUGAUGAGAUAGGAAAGUUUUUCAUAAUGGAGAUGGGUUAAUUUGCCCUAUGAUGAAAAGACAAGACAUGGAAGGAACAGUCCACACCCACAUGAAAAAAAUAUUGCACAAAAAAAAAAAAAAAGAGGUGCACCCCAAUUUUAAAAUUAAAUAUAGCAUCAAGUGGAAAAUUCCACCAAACUGAAAAGAAUCAGAAGCUCAUGUCUGGCAAUUAAAAUUUUAAAUACCCAAACUACUAAAAGAGGGCAGACCAAAUUCCCAACAACAUGCAUUUCCCAUGCUCUUUGUAUCUCCUUUAGGUAGUCUGGAUACAAUGGACCACUCACAACAAUAAUAUAUAAAAUUACUUUAAAGUUAGCACAUAGAUUAUAAUCCAUUAUAUGUAGAUGUAUUAGCAUCAUAUAAGAGAGCACCUCCAGGGUUUACAAAAUAAAAGAUUCUUGUGAGACAAACGAGAGGAGCAAUCAUAUUUUUGCACUUGAACAGCACCCAAUAUAAGAUUACCUGAAUUUCUGGAUCAGCAACAACAUAUGCCUUAAGAAGUUUAUCCCCAAAUGCACGAGAAACAGCAAGAACACCACCAACCCGCCAGGUUCCUAGUGAAGUUCAGAAACAUUUUAGAGAAAUUUCAGGUACAGUUUACUAUCUGAAAUCCAUGUUAGACUUGUAUCAUUGGAGCUUGGGGAUAAUCAUAACAACCAAAACCACAUUAGCAGACCAAAUAUAAAAUUUACACCUUCACAGAAAAUUAAAAUUAAAAUUAACAAAAAAAAAAAAAAAAACCUUCAUACCUUUUUUAUUGGAAAAAUUAUCAUCAUACUUAACAAAUUAUUUCAAAAAAGAAGGUAAAAGAUUGCCACAAAAAAAAAAAAACUAAAAAGCUUUAAUUCAUGCUGCCACAUAUAUGAUCACAUGUACACAAUUUAGAGUUCACUACCACAAAAUCUACAAAUAUAUACAAGUCAAAUCAAAAUGAAAACAAUUAUAGAUAAGAACUGAAGCAUACAAUAAAAGCACAAUAUACUUGGAAACAAAAUGUCGUUUGUAAACAAACUAGUUAUGGAAGUCAUGGAGCUGCUGGUUUUCAAGACAAAUCAUUUUUGUUUAACUUCCAUAUUUACUUUAAAUUUUAUUGAUGUGAACAUGCAUGUGAUCACUAUGUAAGAAUAUAUAUUAUGCAUUAAAGAAAUCAUCUAAGAAUCAAUGUCUUUUUUUUUUUUUUUGGAUAGGUAAACAAGAAUUUAUAUUAGAAGACACCUAAAGAGGGAGCAACCUAAUACACAAGAGCUAUGACAAGUCAUCAAAAGAAACAAAAAAUAAAACAAAAGAAAAGAAUUGCUUGCACAAUAUGGACAAUGCAACACAUUGAUGAUAUGCACAAAAGAUGCUUCCUCAUUUCCUGAUCUCCCAGACCACACAAACAAAGAGUACAUAAAAACAUUUUUCAGUCACAACUCCAACUGCUCCAAACCAUUGAAUAUUUGUCUAUUACAACUUUUCCCUAAAUGCCAACAUAAGCAUAAUAGGGCUAUAUUUCCUACUUUUCUCUGCUUCGCAUAUAGGAAACAUUCUCUGCUUGACAAAAUCAAUGUGGAGUAUAUAGUCAUAUAUCAAACUGUUCACAUAUUUUAUUCUCCUUCCAUGCAUCUUUCAUGAUCAACCAAAAGCUCUAGAAUAGAAGUUCAAAGUUCUCUUCGGAUUGAAAUCCAUUACAUAGGUAGUAAGCAGGCUGAGCUCCAGGUAUUGGAUUGCUCAGGUUCCAUGAUCACACAUAGUUAUAGUUCAUAAAGCAGCUCUGAAAGAUGGUUUUGUUUAUCUGGAUUCUGGAACUAUCAUGUCCUUUUUUCACCCUGAUAGGCAAUCUUUUUUCCUCCCUAUAGAGACUUGAACCUGGAACCUCCUACUUCCCACCUCCAACCCCUUACCACUUAAGACAAGCCUCAAAGGCACUAUCAUAUCCAUUUUCAAUUGAUAGAAACUUAUUUAUGGUAGGGUAGCCUUUAAACCCUACAGUGUUCAUUAUAAGGGGAUAAUCAUAAGUAAAUUAUUUGAGUUUUCUUUUUACAUGCAUGUGCAAUGUCCCACAAAGAUAUCGUAGUAUUUCAGAUGUGCCAUCAAUGUCACUAUGAUCCCAGUGGUCAUGAUAAGACUACCAAGUCAAGCUCCAUGUUCCUCCAGCCCAGGUCAUGUAGUAAUGGACUACAAAAUGAGAUUGAUGUUGCUUGUUAUUCAUGAGCAAGAUCAAAUGAGGUCUUAACUAAGCAAUCAUGAACUUGCGUGGCAGUGGUUUAUUUAACUAUUCCUUCUAUUGGUCUUUCACCAUAGAGUUGGAGUUCAUUUAUGAAAGGGAUUGAAAAUUUCAGAAAAUUCUGUAAUCAAAACCUUAUUGUCAGUUAAACUUUGCAUCUCUCCAGCGGCAGUACUGAUCCAAAGAAUUGUAGGUUAGUGUAUGAAAGUUCACAACUACGUAUUCAAGCCAGAGUUUGGGACUCUUAAAUGGCAUAAUGAAGUUAGUUGACUUGAAGGACAACCACCUGAGAACCUUCCCAAUGCAUGAACAUACACCACAGUUAGGCAUAGGCAUGGUCUGUGCAUAUAAAUAAGACUGCAAAGAUUGAAACUUACCUGCCCAAAUAACGAAACCUCCAGCAUCUUCAAUCCUUUGGCGUUCAUCAGAUCUAUCAGGUUUGUGAUCAGUGGACAGUGGGAUAGCUGCAGUUGAAAACAAUAAUGAUCACUCAACAAAGAAGAACCUGUUAACCUUGCAGUUAUUUAUAUAUUAUAAUAUUCCAGUUAAAUCAAAGAUAUAAAGACUCUGUCAACUAAUGAAAUCAGCAUAAAAGCAUGUUAACUUCAUCCAACAACUUUGUAAAAAUAAAAAGUAACAAAUAUUAAAACUUCUAAAAAUAAAAAAUAAUAAAAGAGAGAGAGAGGAGAAAAAGGAGAGACUUUUCAUUCAUGGCUAAAACCCUUGAAUUUUGGUGCCUGAGGCAAAAAGGAAGUACCCUGCGAUAUAACUCCUAUUAGAGGAAUGAAGAAGAAUCAAAAGGCUUAUGAACCACAUACAGCACGAAUUCAAAUAGUAUUGAAUGGUCAAAAACAACAGAAGAUGGUCCAAUUAGAUUUUUUUUUUUUUUUUUUUUUGAUGAGUAAAAGAGAAGAAUUGUAUUGAAAAAGCUGCCAAAACAGUGGCUUAAAGUAUACAAAGAAGAAACACAACAGCUGCCACAAACAGAGGAGCAACACGAACCCCACCCUCAACGGGUUCCCACCCAAUCAAUAAAAUCAACUAAAGUCGAAGGACCAUAUUUUAUGAACAAUUUCAUCUCUGACCAAAGGAAAUAAACAAAAGAACUUUUAAGUCUUUGGAUUGACAACACUUCUUCCUCAAACACAAUUUUGUUUCUUGCCUCCCAAACUAUCCAAAAAAGACACAAUGGGUUUGCUCUCCAAACUUCCUUUCUCUUUUUUCCCACAAAAAACCCAUCCCAGCCCAAAAGCGUUGCCUUAACUGUGGUUGGCAGCACCCACUACACCCCAAAAAGAGAGAAAAACAACGCCCAAAGAGUCCUUGCCUUGGCAUAAUGGAGAAGAAUGUGAUCUAUUGAUUCUUAGUGUAUUUGGCAUAGGUAGCAUCUAUUUGCUAAAGGUCGUCCUCUCUUCUGAAGUUGGUCCAAAGUAAGAGCUUUUCCCCACAUUGCUUCCCACCCAAAAAACUCACUUUAGGCUGCACACAAGCUUUCCAAAUGACCGUCGAUGGGAAAGAGACUAGAGGGCCUGAAACUAAUGCUUUGUAGAGAGACUUAACAGAAAACUUCCCACAUUUAGUCUCUCUCCAAAGCACCCUAUCUUCCACUUCUUGCUGAACUCUCUUCCCAUUAAGAACUAGAAAAAACCUGUGCACCUCAUCCACCUCCCAAUCAUUAAAAGGUCUGGAAAAGUACGGGCUCCACCACCCCCCCCUCCCUCCCUCCCUCAGUGGAACUCCACACAUCUUUGACCCAAGCAUCCUUGGAGACAGCUAAAGCAAAUAAAGUGGGAAAAGAAACACAAAGAGGUGAAUCCCCACACCAUCUAUCUUUCCAAAAUUUCACCAUUUGUCCAUUCCCCACCACAAAAGAGAGCCUACUACUUACAACAUGCCACUCCCUCCUAAUUGCUUUCCACAACCCCACACCAUACCCACCCCUCACUUCCUUGGAACACCAACCCCCUUGCUCCUCCCUAAACUUUCCCCUUAUCACUUGAUACCAAAAAACCCUUCUCUCAUUAGCAAACCUCCAACUCUAUUUACACAAAAACGCCUUAUUGAGGGUACAAAGGUACUUUACUCC